rnacentral:rRNA from 1 species
GACAGAGGUGCCGAGCGUUAGGCGGAAUCACUGGGCUUAAAGCGUGUGUAGGCGGGCGGGCAAGUACCUUGUGAAAUCCCACGGCUCAACCGUGGAACGGCUGGGUAUACUGCCUGUCUUGAGCCAACUAGGGGCGAGCGGAACAGACGGUGGAGCGGUGAAAUGCGUAGAUAUCACUUGGAACGCCAACGGUGAAAACAGCCUGCUGGGGACCUCGCUGACGCUGAGACACGAAAGCCAGGGGAGCGAACGGG